rnacentral:rRNA from 1 species
UGGGGGAUAACGCAGCGAAAGCUGUGCUAAUACCGCAUAAGAUCUACGGAUGAAAGCAGGGGAUCGCAAGACCUUGCGCGAAUGGAGCGGCCGAUGGCAGAUUAGGUAGUUGGUGAGGUAAAGGCUCACCAAGCCUUCGAUCUGUAGCUGGUCUGAGAGGACGACCAGCCACACUGGGACUGAGACACGGCCCAGACUCCUACGGGAGGCAGCAGUGGGGAAUUUUGGACAAUGGGCGCAAGCCUGAUCCAGCCAUGCCGCGUGCAGGAUGAAGGCCUUCGGGUUGUAAACUGCUUUUGUACGGAACGAAAAGGUUCUUUCUAAUAAAGAGAGCUCAUGACGGUACCGUAAGAAUAAGCACCGGCUAACUACGUGCCAGCAGCCGCGGUAAUACGUAGGGUGCAAGCGUUAAUCGGAAUUACUGGGCGUAAAGCGUGCGCAGGCGGUUAUGUAAGACAGUUGUGAAAUCCCCGGGCUCAACCUGGGAACUGCAUCUGUGACUGCAUAGCUAGAGUACGGUAGAGGGGGAUGGAAUUCCGCGUGUAGCAGUGAAAUGCGUAGAUAUGCGGAGGAACACCGAUGGCGAAGGCAAUCCCCUGGACCUGUACUGACGCUCAUGCACGAAAGCGUGGGGAGCAAACAGGAUUAGAUACCCUGGUAGUCCACGCCCUAAACGAUGUCAACUGGUUGUUGGGUCUUCACUGACUCAGUAACGAAGCUAACGCGUGAAGUUGACCGCCUGGGGAGUACGGCCGCAAGGUUGAAA